rnacentral:snRNA from 1 species
GGCUGUGAGGGCAAUCUGGAUGUAACAUCUGUCACCCCACUGAUUGCCAGAGCUGAUUCUGCUAAUCUGCCUGGCCUCCCUCAGUGCUCCAUGUAGUCCCUCCCAAAGCGGCAUCUCAGUUGAAGAGGGCUGGUCUUGGUCAAGGGCAUGAGUAGUUGUGCUCCACUGCCAGAGCCUCCAAACAAGCUCUCAAGGCCCAGGGUGGAAAAACAGUAAAUAACUGAAUAACAAGUAACAUUUUCAGAGUCCUU